rnacentral:rRNA from 1 species
UACGUAGGGGGCUAGCGUUGUCCGGAAUCAUUGGGCGUAAAGCGCGCGUAGGCGGCCAGAUAAGUCCGGUGUGAAAGCCACAGGCUCAACCUGUGAAUGCCGCUGGAAACUGUCUGGCUAGAGUCCGGAAGGGGCGAGUGGAAUUCCUGGUGUAGCGGUGAAAUGCGCAGAUAUCAGGAGGAACACCUAUGGCGAAGGCAGCUCGCUGGGACGGUACUGACGCUGAGGCGCGAAAGCGUGGGGAGCGAACAGG